GGUAGUCCAUGCCGUAAACGUUGGGCACUAGGUGUGGGGGACAUUCCACGUUUUCCGCGCCGUAGCUAACGCAUUAAGUGCCCCGCCUGGGGAGUACGGCCGCAAGGCUAAAACUCAAAGGAAUUGACGGGGGCCCGCACAAGCGGCGGAGCAUGCGGAUUAAUUCGAUGCAACGCGAAGAACCUUACCAAGGCUUGACAUGAACCGGAAAGACCUGGAAACAGGUCCCCCACUUGUGGUCGGUUUACAGGUGGUGCAUGGUUGUCGUCAGCUCGUGUCGUGAGAUGUUGGGUUAAGUCCCGCAACGAGCGCAACCCUCGUUCUAUGUUGCCAGCACGUGAUGG
rnacentral:rRNA from 1 species